rnacentral:lncRNA from 1 species
UGAAAAUUCCACUACAGAUAUCAAGAAAGAAGAAGUAAAAGAGAAUUAUGAUAUAAAACAAGGUAUAAAAUCAGAAUGUAAAGUUGUUUUGAAGAAAUUGAAAUUUGAAGUAAAGAGGGAAGAUUGUAAAGAAGUUGUUCAUCUCCCAGAUGAUAAUGAAAAGAUAAAUAUUAAAAGAGAACCAAUUCCUACUAACAACACAAACGGAUCCACUAUUUGGAGUCAUUCUGGUUAUAAAAUCGAAAGAGAUAUUAAGAAAGAAGAAAUAAAAGAGAAUUGUGAUGUAAAACAUGGUAUAAAAUCAGAAUGUAAACUUGAUUUUAAAAAAUUGAAGAUUGAAGUAAAGACUGAAGAUUAUAAAGAAGUUUUUCAUCUCCCAGAUGAUGAUGAAAACGUAUUGCCUGUCAACAAUGAAUAUUUCACUCCAAACGAAAAUUUUAACAAGAAUGAAACGAACAUUAAAAGUAAGUAACAUGUUUACUUAAUUCAAACUUUUUAUAUUAGUACUAUUCAGAGGGUAGCUGAAGAACUGCAUUCAAGAUUCAACUAUUAAACAUUUAACUGGGAUCAGAUAUUUCAGAAUUAUACGUAUCCUCCUAUAACAUAUUAAUAUAACUUCUGUAGUUAAUAAAAAUGCUUUAGGAUGAUCACAAUUACUAAAUAACAACUCAUGAGUUGUGAUUUAAUGAUUCAUGUUAUCUGCUUUGUUUAUGGAUCCGCUAAAAUAAUAAAGAAAAUGUAUUGAAUCGAAGUGAACGAGGGCCAUAUAACUAAUUUAAUAACAUAAGUAAGUGA